rnacentral:sRNA from 1 species
CGAAGCAAUGAUUCGUUGCAGUUUGAAG